CGUUAUGGCUAGGACAAUGGUGGGCUGAUGAAGCGUGUCAGAUCUGGAAGGAAGCAGCACUAAGUCGGUGCCGCCAUGUGUCUGAUUUUUAUAUAGGUA
rnacentral:SRP_RNA from 1 species